rnacentral:rRNA from 1 species
AUUGAACGCUGGCGGCAGGCCUAACACAUGCAAGUCGAGCGAGCGGCGGACGGGUGAGUAAUGUCUGGGAAACUGCCUGAUGGAGGGGGAUAACUACGGGAAACGGUAGCUAAUACCGCAUACCAUCAGAUGUGCCCAGAUUGGAUUAGCUAGUAGGUGGGGUAAGGGCUCACCUAGGCGACGAUCCCUAGCUGGUCUGAGAGGAUGACCAGCCACACUGUAACUGAGACACGGUCCAGACUCCGACGGGAGGCAGCAGUGGGGAAUAUUGGACAAUGGGAGGAAGCCUGAUGCAGCCAGGCCGCGUGUGUGAAGAAGGCCUUCGGGUUGUAAAGCACUUUCAGCGGGGAGGCGUUACCCGCAGAAGAAGCACCGGCUAACUCCGUGCCAGCAGCCGCGGUAAUAC